AGCUCUGGGUGGGCGGGGUCUGGGAAGGCGGAGGAACUGGGAUUGGCGGGAAACCCUGGGGCGGGACUGCUUGUGCGCGGAGAGAACCGGGGCGUGGCCACACGGCAAGCCCUGACUUUCCUUGCCCUUUUCCUGGUGGAUUGCUGAUUCCCGCCAACUCUCCGACUGCCAGGCUGUUCACCGCAACCCAGCUCGGGAUGCCCUGGCUGUCCUGGAACUCGCUCUGUAGACAUGACUGGCUUCGACUUCACAGACCGGCCUCUACCUGCUGAGUGCUAGGAUUAAAGGCAAGCACCACUAUUGUCCAACAAGAGUAACUUUUAAAUAAGAGCAAAGUUGAAUUUUCUUCCCUGCGGACUUGCAAAUUUCCAUAAUCAUAUGUUAGUAGUUGUAACUCUAUGCUGGAGAACUGAGACAGAGCUGGUGCUACAUACAAGUGAGUUUGUACCCUCUGGGAAAACAAACUCAGUGUGGACUUGACUCUUCUGUGCUUUCAAAUAAAAUAUGUUAUAAAUCUCA